GACGAACGCUGGCGGCGUGCUUAACACAUGCAAGUCGAACGAUGAAGCCGGAGCUUGCUCUGGUGAAUUAGUGGCGAACGGGUGAGUAACACGUGAGUAACCUGCCCUUGACUCUGUGAUAACUGCGGGAAACUGUAGCUAAUACCGGAUACGACCCUCGGAGGCAUCUCCUGGGGGUGGAAAGAAUUUCGGUCAAGGAUGGACUCGCGGCCUAUCAGCUAGUUGGUGAGGUAAAGGCUCACCAAGGCGACGACGGGUAGCCGGCCUGAGAGGGUGACCGGCCACACUGGGACUGAGACACGGCCCAGACUCCUACGGGAGGCAGCAGUGGGGAAUAUUGCACAAUGGGCGCAAGCCUGAUGCAGCAACGCCGCGUGAGGGAUGACGGCCUUCGGGUUGUAAACCUCUUUUAGCAGGGAAGAAGCGAAUGUGACGGUACCUGCAGAAAAAGCACCGGCUAACUACGUGCCAGCCGCCGCGGUAA
rnacentral:rRNA from 1 species